GCGAGAUGAAGAAGUGGUCAUUCUCGAGUGACAACAGAGACGCACGCAGACAGAAGCAGGAGAUACCCACCCCAGUGAAAAAUUAGAGGAACUGUCGCACCAGACCCGCUGGUCACCCUCACGUCAUGGGAUCCAGACCAGAAGGCGGCUCGCCCACCGGAGUGCAUGUGAUCUGCGUGUGACAGGCUGGACAGAGAGCUGGAGUGAGCGUCAUAAUAUACUGCCAAACAGAGUUCCAGAAAUGAGUUAAAUCCAGACUGGACGUGUAGCCAAGCUGGGAACCGGAAUCACAGGGCGAAGCUUGGAGAUCAUUACUAGAGAAAUACAGGAAAACAGUCUAAUCACCGGAGGGAGGACAGCACUGGGAGACGUAUCAGCCCGGCGAAGCAGCUGCAAACGGUGUCGGGGAGCAGGUGUACGGUGAAGGCCAAGGAGGGGGAUUCAGAACCGAAUCUGAGAACGCUGUUUGUUCAAAAGCCCGUUACCAGCAUCAUGAUGCUUUCAGUGAGUCACCCGGGGCUGGAUGACGGGCUAAUGCCGAGUCUGAAACAACUGGAGAAAGGCUGGAUGCGCGCAGUUCAGGAGGUGCUUGAAGCGCACCAGACCCUGAGACACAGGUAGCGUCGCGGCCAACGGCGUAAGUCGUGUCGGCCACACGACCGUGGCUCCAGGGAGUGAAAUCAGGCGGAGGGAAAACUGCACGUUAACCAAGGAGGGCAGCAGGUCAAAGAUGGCUUUGGGAGCCAGGAGCUCUCCAGGAGCCCUGGGGCAGGUGCACGUGAGGCAAGGCGAGGUGUCUAAGUCGGUGAGCGGAGAGCGACGGGACCACGGCCUGCACAACCGCGGUGCGCGUGCGGUCCAGGAGACCGGAAGCUCCAGACGGAAGUUACGUCUCGGCUGAGUGACUCCGCCCCGGAAGUCCCGCCCGAUGUGCUCUGCGGGAGGUGGAAGCCAAUCUUCCGUCCCUGGUCCCUGGCAGUGGCCGGGAUUUCACCGGGCGCAGAGUGGCCGCAGUGUGUGGGUGCGGGGGGCAGCCGGCCAGGCUGCUGCUGACCCAGGACGGAUUCCCCGCUCUGUCCUGCAGCGUCUGUUUCCAUGCAGGGAGGUUCUGGGGCUCAGGGACUUCGCUUUAUCCCUGACGGCCAUGACAGAGAUCCCGGGAACGUCUCUCCCCUUGAGAGCUGUCAGGGGUCUUCGUCCGGGGCAACAGUACCCCAAGCUGAUUCCGUUUAGAAGAGGGUUUGGGCAGAUUCUUGGAUUUACUCAUUUAUUGCAUUUUUAUCCCGGAAAAUCUCAAACCUACAGAGAAAUUUCAGGAAUAGCACAACUCCGUAGGCCCACCCACAGACAUUUAGUCGGAACGCGUCCCGGACAAGGAGCCCUCGCAAGGUGGUCACACGGGGGGACCAGACGUGCUGAAAUCCGGGAGUCUGGGAAAUCAGUAAUGGCAGAUUUCUGAGAAACGAGAGCUUUCCCUGGGCUCCGGGGACGGACUAGGAGUUGCCUUGUCAGGUUGUGGGAUGUAGCUUUAGAGGACACAGGUGACUCGGGAAGGGGUUUGGGGAGCCCAGUGUCCCGCCUCCCGAGGUUCUAGGAAAUGGAGUGGACACAGGCUCUCCAGCCUGUCGGACAGAACGAGUAGACUCUGAAGGCCUCUCAGGUCCCAGGGGCCCCAGAGGGCAUCGACCUUUUCAGCCAAAGUCGUGGGUGUUCAGAGCUCCCAUAGCAUCUGUUAAGAGAGAAUGCAGUCGCAGGCAGGAGUAGGGGGCCCUCCGCGUUCCCAGCAACGUUCCCUCAGAUGGCCACGGGAAGCUGUCAGCCCCACCGACCCUCCCUUUUCAGAAGGUGACUCGGCCUCCUGCUCCUCAGAGAAAACAGACGCGGGUAGAGAACUCUCAACAGCCCGGCAUUUCUGCACAGUUAAAAUGAAAGAAGUGUUGCCUUUUCCUAAGGCUCUAAUCCCAUCCUCAGAGGAAUCUGACACCUCAAUCUCAGACUUCCAGCCUCCAGGACUGUGAAAAAAUGAAUUCCUGUUGCUUACGCCACCCCGUCUGUGGUACUUCAUCAUGGUCGCCCAAGCGCCCCGAAACAUUUUAUUAUCACAGAGUAAAGCUGUGGCCAGUUCUUCUCCAUUUCCAAUGGAUAGAUGUUACCUCCCUUUAUACCCAAUAUGAUGGCUCCCAGAUGGUUUUGGAGUGACAAUGGAGAUACCUCAUGAGACAUCUAAUUUAUCUAGGGUCAGAGACCAGGUAUAGGAUGGACCCAGGCUUCUCAUAAGGAUAUUUAUGAGAAAGAGCCCCAAGGCCACAUCGGUGGAUAGUGAGCACAGGUCAGU